GAUUGCAUGUGCAAAUUACAUCUGAUACGGAGGAUAUUGCAUAUGAAAUAUAAUCGAAAAAUAUGCCACAUGUGUAAUGCCACUCAGAGGCUGACUUCUUUUUCAUUCAUAGAAUCGAAUCUGACCAUGAGUCUGCCUUUCCAAGCUCUGCAUUAUGGGCUCAUAGUAAAAGAAAUAUAAAAUUCUCGCAAUACAUAUUAAAUGACAUCUGAACCAUAUUGUCGGGAGCUCGUCUCCACUAAAAGCUUUCUUCAAGAUCAUGCUCAUGAGCCCUCACCAUAUGAAACCUCUGAAACACGCUGAAGAAUGCACUGUACUGAGAUUCAUAUAAAGUUAGAAGUAUUACUUAGCUAUAUUAAAAUUGAUGUACAAUAGUCUUGAAAUGGCAUAAUAACUCCAAGGAUGGAGAAAUUACUAACCUUGCAUCUAUAGUAGCAACGUUCAGCUCCAUAUCCUUUGUAUUUUCUUUAUCUUACACAAUCUACGAACCAAAAUAACAACUGUAAAGAAGAUCCAAACAGGACUAACCAUGAAAACAUAAAACUUAAAAAAUCCUUCCACCAUACUACCGCCUGCCUUCUUUUGCUCCCAUACUUUUCUUGUUUCUACUUAAAUAACUUCAUCCCUCUUCUCACAUUCAGCAAUUCAUGCUUUUCUUGUUUCUACUUAGAUAACUGCAUCCCUCAUCUCACAUUCAACAAUUUAUGCUUUUCUUGUUUCUACUUAAAUAACUUCAUCCCUCUUCUCACAUUCAGCAAUUCAUGCUUUUCUUGUUUCUACUUAGAUAACUGCAUCCCUCAUCUCACAUUCAACAAUUUAUGCUUUUCUUGUUUCUACUUAAAUAACUUCAUCCCUCUUCUCACAUUCAGCAAUUCACGCUUUUCUUGUUUCUACUUAGAUAACUGCAUCCCUCUUCUCACAUUCACCAAUUCUAUUUUCCUGCUUUUUUCCUACAAAAUUAGACCAAUACUCUUCCAAGACUUCCCCCUUUACACUUUCUAUUUCUUUAACUUCUCCAAAGCUCACAUGUAAUUUUAGGUUUUCCAUCUUAAACCUAAUUGUUGCCUUUUUCCCUUGUUAUUUAUCACAUCAAACGCCUUCUCGACUUCACUAUCAACAAUUCAGAAUAUAAAAAUACAUGAAAAACCAACCAAACAGAAGGGGAGAUUUACCUCUAGCGAGCAGUAGUGCUAAAGUUUCAGCAAUGGUACAUACUUACUAACCUUUAUCCUACUCAAACUUUUUCACUUUUAUUAGAUCUAGCUAGUUGAACUCAAAAAAUUAGACAAAAUAAAUGUUCUAUAUCAUAAACAAACCGAUCCAUCCCUGAAGACUACUACUUAUCAAAGGACUACUACUUGGGCAAGAUAAAAGCAAAACAUGCCCAUAUCAUUCCAUCGCUUGUAUACACUGAGUUGGAUACUCGAUAUCAUGUCUUACUGAAAUAAUAGAUUCAUACCAAAGUGGCAUACCUAUAAUAUGUGAAUAAAUUUAAGAAAUAAUUAACAUACACAAUUUUGAAUAUGAAGCAGUCUUGAAGGUUCAAAAAAAACAACCAGAUAGGAUACCAUCAGAUAUAUGCCAAGAAGGUUCUAUACACCACCAUUAUCUUAAAAAAAAGGUUCUACCUACCACGACAACAAAUAUUACAAUGGAAAUAAAAAUAAAUUCUAGUAAAUUAGAGUGAUAGUACAGAUGUUUACCUCAAAAAUAGGCUAUCUUUAGUAUGUGAAUAAAAAGGCAGCCCGGUGCAUUAUACGCGGGGUUCAGGAAAGGGCCGGAACACAAAGUGUCUUCAAUAUGUGAAUGAACUUCACAAAUAUGUGGGGCAACACUGCAGGUGUUAAAACCAAAAGAUCUGAACCACCUCCUUUAGGCAUAUUUUAUUAGCGGGAUGGACAUCAUCUUUGUUUAUAUACAAAAAAGACAUUGUUUACCAGAAAAGAAUGCUUACUUGUCGAAGUCGCUGGUCUGAUAAGCCUUCUCCAUUUCCCUGCCUAAUUCCGUCAAACGUCAGAACCAAUCUCACUCAAUUGAAUAAGGUAAAUUAAAACCUUGUUAAAGUCUGGCCUUUCUGCAAUAUUUUAGGUAAUCUCUUUCAGGUAGUAAUAUAGGCAACAUUUGUUAUCUAUACAUCAUUUCGUUUCACCUACUUCCUGCGCUUCUUCUCUUUUUCGCUUUUCUAAGGCCAUACCUAUGGCUGCACCAUUCAAGGAAAUAAGAGACAAAGAGGGAAAACAAAAACUUAGAUAAAGAUCAGAAGGUGAAAAUUCGAACACGCACACACAUGAAUUAUGGGUCGAUGUAAUCAUGAAAAGAAUGGUUCAAUGAGAUAUCUUUGGACUCAAAUAGAGAAGAUGAUUGACCCUGUGACGGAGUUUUCGGGGCCAAAGGUUGGUUUAGAGAAAGCUUUCGUUUGGGAGAAUUUAAACGAAAAGAGGAAAGGGUUUUAAAUUAAACAUUGAAAAACUAAAAGGAAAUUGAGGAAGAAAAUUCUUCAGAUAACAUAAAAAAGCGCAGAGGAAAUAAAUUAGGGUAUUACCUGCUGAAGUUGUUUUUCAUAAGUGGAGAGAUUCGAAGCGAAUUGUUCAACUCCAACUUCAUCUCCU
rnacentral:lncRNA from 1 species